UCUUGGCAGCUGGGAUCUGCACCUGAUGCCAGGAAGAGGCAGUGAGCGCUCUCUCUGCAACAGGUAUCAACAUAAUGAUUCAUGGGGGAUGCAUCCACAGAGCUUCCAAGGUUGUGUGUGUGUGUGUGUGUGUGCGCGUGUGUCUGUGUGUAUGUGUGUGUAUGAGUGCAUGUCUGUGUGUAUGUGUGUGUGCAUGUGUGCUUGUGUGUGUGUCUGUGUAUGAGUGCGUGUGUGUCUGUGUAUGUGUGCGUGUGUGUGUGUGUGUGGCGUGAGGUAGGAAGGUACAGGUGAGGCCCUCCAUAAGAACACUUUCUAAGGCUGGAUGACCACAGAUUGGGCGUCUGGUAGAAAAGCACAGUGCCAGAUGGAGCAGGCUUGGGAUUCAAUGCUGAGGCCUUGGGCAAAUAUGGAGCAUCCGAGACUCCCUUCCAAGCCAGGCUGACCACGAGGCACAAGUUCCUGAGGCCUCCAUCAAUA
rnacentral:lncRNA from 1 species